ACUAUAAAUACAGAAGUUACUGGAAAGCUGAAAUCAGAUUGUGCUGGUCCCACUCCUCCAACCAACACACCCGAACUUAAACCAAACUCGAACUGGUAGGUUUCGUGUGAUUGUUGCGUCACGAAGCCAUGGCGGAUUCUUCGAACCUGAAAUCCGACGCGAUUAUGGAGCAGAUGAAGCAGCACUUCGCCACUGACGCUGGCAAAAAGCUCACGGAAAAAAUUGGACUCGUUUAUCAAUUUCACAUUGCUCCGAAGAAACUUGGAUUUGAUGAGGUCGUCUACACCGUUGAUCUCAAGAAAGGAGAGGUCACCAAAGGGCUAUAUGAAGGAGGAAAACCCGAUGCAUCCUUUUCAUUUAAGGACGAGGACUUUGUUAAGAUUGCCUUGGGAAAGAUGAAUCCGCAGAUUGCUUUCAUGAGGGGUGCGAUGAAGAUUAAGGGGAGUUUGAGUGCUGCUCAGAAAUUUACUCCGGAUAUCUUCCCAAAGCCUUCCAAGCUGUGAGCUGAGAUGCUUUCAACUACUUAAGAUUGCAAGAAUUAUCCUUUGAUGCAGUCAACCAAAAUAGAUAGCAUCAACAUUUCAGGAAUAUAAUUAUAUAUCUUUAGAGCCAAUAAAGGCUAAUAUGAUUAAAGUUCAAAUCGCAGUGAGAAUGACCACAAAACGUUGAUGUCGUGCAUCCUAGAAAGACAUGGCAAGGAAGGAGGAGAUUAAGAAGUUGAAGGCAGAGCUUGACAGUUUUGUAAAGUGACGACAUGACGAGUAGUAAGAAGAUCGAGGAGAUGCAUUGAGAGGAAGGUGCAAUCGCUUGAGCGGCAAAGGUGGUUGAGGUCAUCAUGAUGUGGGCAACCCCAUAAUUGUUUUUUCUUAUUUUUAGGGGUUACCUAUUCUUAAGAAUGCAUUGUCACCACAGUAGCAAAUAGCUUGUACAUCUAAUCUUCUCGUCAACGAGAAAGAUAAUCUCUUCUUUCAAAA